AUGUAAGGCUAUAAUUUUGACGUAAAUUUUUAAAUUUGUAAAACCUUUUUGGCACAAAUUUUCAAAAUUUCAAACAGGUAUUUAUUCAGUAAAAUCCACGACCAUGUGUACUUGUUCUCCAAAUAGUAAUAAUAGAGAAGAAUAUCACACUGCACUUUCCGAGUUUGAGAUUCCAGAAGAUCGACAUACGUCGACACAGUAUUAUGAAGAAGAGUUUGCCCCACCAUAUUACUCAACUCCAAUCUCGCCUCAAAUCUCGGCUCCAAUCUCGCCUCAAAUCUCGGCUCCAAUCUCGGCUCCAAUCUCGACUCCAAGAAGAAUACCAAGUUAUCAACGUAUGCCUCGACCCCAUGUAAGAAGUGCCUUACGUAGAGGUUUCAUGACUGGAGUAGCUAUUGUACCACGACGAAUUGAUUUUGAUGCUGUAUCACAUGUCGAAGAAAUUGACGAUGAAGAGACAGCGAGAGAAAGAUUACAACGGUUACAAACCCCGGUUACACGUCCGCCUAUCAUUCCCGAAACUGGUGCUCCUGCAACGUAUAGAUUGAGACGCACAAGGGCGACACAAUAUCCAUUUAUUCCAGAGAGAACGCAAUAUGUGCCUAGAAUGGUUCGGAUUACACCUUGCGGGAAAUGUUUGAGAAUAUAAAAGCGUAUCGAAGUAACCAUGAAAAGCAAUCAACCUAUUUACACAACACAGAUCCCGGAACACCGAAGAUAUCGUAGAAGUACUGCGCAAACACUCCGACUGACUGUUUCUCAAUCAGAGUCGCGUAUACGGAAGGCACACGGUUAUAGCAGCACUCGGUAGACGCCUGUUUUCACGGUCAUUCCAUUCCCAAAGAUGUCCGACCAAUUCUCGGAAGAACGCGUUGUCUCGGUAUUUCGCGCGGAAUCGCCUUUGAGCAUCGUUGCGUGGUAUCGCACGGAGAAUGGACGACGAGACGGCGCGUGCACGGACGAAAUGGGCACGCGAAGACGCGGAGGACGCGAGUGGUGGCGAAUUUACGUAAUGAAGCGAUCGCCCGGGUGGUCCCGAGCGUGAGACGCGCGUACGCACGUUCCUUCGUCGUUCCCGAUGCGAGACGCUUGCCAAGAUGGAGAGAACAAAGAGAGACGAGAGAGUAAGAAUCUCUCUUUUUCUCCUCGAGAACGACUUGUAGCUCCGGCGUCGUUCAGCUUUCGAAUUAACGGCACCGGAAAUACGAAGCAACAUGCACGCGCUCGGACGCAUUUAUGCGCGUGGAAGAGAAACGCGAACGCGUUUACCACCCACAAUUAUUUGCCAAAACGUGCCUCUCCCGUGAUUUCCACGCGGUACGCACCGACGGGGCAUCGGGAUCCCGAGACGCCACACGUCAGAAUAUUUGAGAUGGGUUCGCCCCGAGCGCUAAGGGAACCAAUCGCUAAUCUUUCAGAGAAACGUCGUCGAAGUUUACGUUCGCGCGAUCAUCAAAAGAUUAUCCCUCCCUUCUGGUAAAAUAUAGAUUUCUUGUUGAACUUGCGGAACAAAUUUAAGACUUUUUAAUUAUAUUCACCUUGU